rnacentral:rRNA from 1 species
UACGAAGGGGGCUAGCGUUGUUCGGAAUUACUGGGCGUAAAGCGCACGUAGGCGGAUAUUUAAGUCGGGGGUGAAAUCCCGGGGCUCAACCCCGGAACUGCCUUUGAUACUGGAUAUCUUGAGUUCGGAAGAGGUAAGUGGAAUUGCGAGUGUAGAGGUGAAAUUCGGAGAUAUUCGCAGGAACACCAGUGGCGAAGGCGGCUUACUGGUCCGAUACUGACGCUGAGGUGCGAAAGCGUGGGGAGCAAACAGG